AAUCUUCGGAGAGGGUUUUCGGUGUUGGACACUCUUAGUGGCGAACGGGUGAGUAACGCGUAGGCAACCUGCCCUUUAGAUGGGGACAACAUCCCGAAAGGGGUGCUAAUACCGAAUGUGACAGUCCUUCCGCAUGGAGGGAUUGUGAAAGAUGGCCUCUACAUGUAAGCUAUCGCUAAAGGAUGGGCCUGCGUCUGAUUAGCUAGUUGGUGAGGUAACGGCUCACCAAGGCGACGAUCAGUAGCCGGUCUGAGAGGAUGAACGGCCACAUUGGGACUGAGACACGGCCCAGACUCCUACGGGAGGCAGCAGUGGGGAAUCUUCCGCAAUGGGCGAAAGCCUGACGGAGCAAUGCCGCGUGAGUGAUGAAGGGAUUCGUUCCGUAAAACUCUGUUGUCUAUGACGAAUGUGCCCUGUGUAAAUAAUGCGGGGUAAUGACGGUAGUAGACGAGGAAGCCACGGCUAACUACGUGCCAGCAGCCGCGGUAAUACGUAGGUGGCGAGCGUUGUCCGGAAUUAUUGGGCGUAAAGAGCAUGUAGGCGGUUUUUUAAGUCCGGAGUGAAAAUGCGGGGCUCAACCCCGUAUGGCUCUGGAUACUGGAAGACUUGAGUGCAGGAGAGGAAAGGGGAAUUCCCAGUGUAGCGGUGAAAUGCGUAGAUAUUGGGAGGAACACCAGUGGCGAAGGCGCCUUUCUGGACUGUGUCUGACGCUGAGAUGCGAAAGCCAGGGUAGCGAACGGGAUUAGAUACCCCGGUAGUCCUGGCCGUAAACGAUGGGUACUAGGUGUAGGAGGUAUCGACCCCUCCUGUGCCGGAGUUAACGCAAUAAGUACCCCGCCUGGGGAGUACGUCCGCAAGGAUGAAACUCAAAGGAAUUGACGGGGGCCCGCACAAGCGGUGGAGUAUGUGGUUUAAUUCGACGCAACGCGAAGAACCUUACCAAGGCUUGACAUUGAGCGCCAUGCCUAGAGAUAGGCAGUUCCCUUCGGGGACGUGAAAACAGGUGGUGCAUGGCUGUCGUCAGCUCGUGUCGUGAGAU
rnacentral:rRNA from 1 species